rnacentral:rRNA from 1 species
GACGAACCGUGCGAACGUUAUUCGGAAUCACUGGGCUUAAAGCGCGUGUAGGCGGAGCAGCACGUCCGGUGCUGAAAUCCCUCGGCUCAACCGAGGAACGGGCCCGGAUACGACUGUUCUGGAGGAGCGUAGGGGGACCUGGAACUUCCGGUGGAGCGGUGAAAUGCGUUGAGAUCGGAAGGAACGCCCGUGGCGAAAGCGAGGUCCUGGACGCUUACUGACGCUGAGACGCGAAAGCCAGGGGAGCGAACGGG